GUGCCAGCAGCCGCGGUAAUACGGAGGGUGCGAGCGUUGUCCGGAAUCACUGGGCGUAAAGGGCGCGUAGGCGGCGCGGCAAGUCUGUGGUGAAAGCCCGAGGCUCAACUUCGGGUCGGCCAUGGAUACUGCUGCGCUCGAGCACUGUAGAGGCAGGUGGAAUUCCGGGUGUAGCGGUGGAAUGCGUAGAGAUCCGGAAGAACACCGGUGGCGAAGGCGGCCUGCUGGGCAGUAGCUGACGCUGAGGCGCGACAGCGUGGGGAGCAAACAGGAUUAGAUACCCUGGUAGUCC
rnacentral:rRNA from 1 species